AAUAUUAUAAAAAAGACUUAGACUAGACUGGACCGGUUGAAGAUGGAAUUCACUAAUUUUUCGAUGGAACCAGUUCAGAUUUAUUUGUGUUUACAAAGCUUCGAAUUGUGUGGAACGCUCUCAAGUCUCAAUCACGAGUGGGGUCUAAAGAGAAUAACAAAUGGACAAAGGGUAGUAGGUCACUGGUGGACCCUACAAAUUAAAUGAAGACAUCUCGCUGCAUUGAAAAUUUUCUUUACAUAUGCAUACUUCUGAAUCACACUUCAAUGUCUUUAAAGCCAAGUAAAAUCAUACCUUAUAUAUAGCCGUUAGUAAUAUAUAAUAAUUAAUUAACUGUGUAGCCAGAAUGCAUGACAAAUAUGGUAUUCUGUAUCAUUACCUGUAUUGUAUAGCAAGAGAUUUUGAGCGCAAUGUUUCCUUUUUGAUAUCUAAGAUUUGAAAACAAAAUUUAAGCGCCAACUUUUUCUUUUUGAGAGCACAAAUUUAAAGUCAGAUUUAAAAAUCAAUUCCUUCCAUUCAUUUUCUCUAUCUCUCUUUCCGUUUUUCUCCUCUUUUUCUCCCACGCUCUCUGGCUCUCUGAUUGCUGUAAUUUGUAAACACAAUUGCAAGAUGACUGAUGAAGCAUGGUGAGGUGCCAACUGCGUUUGUAGUGAGAGCAAAUGGUCACACUGACACAACUGAGGAUGAAAUUAAGCAAUUCGUUUCCAAAGAGGUUCUGGGAUCUUUCAAAAAAGGACCCAUAUAUUUGGGGAAAGAGAAUGUUAUGAUUUGGAACUAUUUAGAAGAUGGAAGUUACUUAAAUAAGAAGCACUUGAAGAUAGAGAUCAUCGUUUCAUCCAUCUGGUAUCCAAGUGAUGCAGAUAUUUGGUGGUGGACAUGAGAUAUGUGCAGCCAAUAUUCAACCAGUUUUGAGUCUACUUGGUGAUUAAGACAAAUUGAUUUGGAACUAUUUAGAAGAUGGAAGCUACUUAAAUAAGAAGCACUUGAAGAUAGAGAUCAUCUUUUCAUCCAUCCGCUGCAUCUUUUAUUUUGGGAAUGGCCUCGCAUUAUCAUCCCCUGUUGUUGUUCUGCAGUAGUCGGAGAACUAUUCUAUGGAGGGGACAAGACAAAGGAAGGCAAGUUAGCAUAAGGAAAAAAGUGGAUCACAUGGCUUGAAGGGAGAAUCUGGAAAAAUACUUUGAUGACCGAAGAGAUGCACUUCAUGAAAAGGCAAAAGUUUGUUCUCAUUCAACUUUGCAUGCACACCAUUGAUUUAUAAAUUGUCCCUAUGAAUCCUAACCAUCCAUCUUUCAUAAAAGUGACUAUAAAAAGCCUCACUUGAGCCAUGCACAUGAACGAAGAAGUCACACACAUCUUGCAUAAUCAAGCCUUGUAUUCUUCACUACUAAGGCUUAGAAACUGUACCUUGAGCAACAAAACACCUUUGUUCAUAUACACUUUAAACACUUUUCUUCCAAGAGUGCAUCACAUUAUCCAAAUCUUCCCCAUCAACUCUUAACCUCAGUGCUACCAACCACUCAAGGGAGCAUGGCUUCUUCAACGGCCAAACGAAGAAGAGGAAAGGAACCCAUGGUUGAAGAAAGUGAACUCUGAGUAUGAUCGAUGGAAGUUCAAAUCAUGGUACCAUCAACUUUAACAGGAAUGGAUGAACGAUAAAAAGAUAUAUCCAGAAGUUCCAAUUCUAUUACAAGAUGAAGGAUGCCAGGAAAUGAAAGCCAACAUUAAAAAUAGGAGAUGGGAAGAGCUCACCUCACCAAUCACUAAGAUCAAUGCCAACAUCUUAAGGGAAUUCUAUGCUAAUACCCCAAGGCUUGAUAUGAAUAUAGCUCCAACCUACAAGAGCUAUGUAAGGGGAACGGAAGUUGAUUUCAGUUCAAAGGCUAUCAUGAAAGUCUUAGGCCUACGAACAGUCCAUUUUGAUGAGCCAGGGUACCACCAAAGAAUAAGUGAAGACCCAAACUAUGAUAAAAUUACUAGUGAAAUCUAUGUGGUGAACACGGAUUGGGUAGGAGAUGCCAACAAUAAGUACAAAUACUUGAGAAGAGGAAAUCUCACCCCUGAAGCAAAAGGGUGGUAUGAGCUAGUAAAAAGAUCGAUCUUAGGCACAGUGAACACUUCAGAGGUCAACAAAAAAAGAGCUGUCAUGUUAUAUUGUAUAAUAGUGGGAGGAGAAGUGAAGGUUCACGAGAUCAUUACAAGUGAUAUUCAAAGGAUUGCAGAGAAGAAUUCGGCUGGAGCUUGGCUAUACUACCCAAGCACCAUCAUGCGGGUGUGCAUGAAGGCCGAAGUGCCAGUGGAGGAUGCAAACCCAAUAUGGUUGAAUCCAGGCCUACCUGUAACCUUCGAGAGGAUGAUGGUUGUCACAAAAGCACAACAAAGUCGAAGGCCACAAAAAGGGAGAAGAAGAGAAGAACCACAAGGAGAACAGGAGGAACAGCAAUAAUUCCAACCAUAGAACAACAUGGACAUGGUUUAGAUGCAAAAGACAAUUGAGAGGUUGUCACAACAAUACACGGAGAUUCAAGAGAAGCAGGAAGAAUUCCAUUCAAGAGAACAUGAGAGCUUUCAAAGAAUUCACAACCCUUUAGGAUGCAAGGUAUGGAGUUCAAGCUGACUAUAACAUAAAUGGCCAAAUAAAGUUGGGCUACAUUGCGGAUCAUGUACACAAUAUGGAGCCAGCAUUUCCAACUUUAAAACCGAAAGUAAAAACGAAAAAUUGAUAUGAUUUAAAAGAUCUCCUCUAUCUUAUCAAUAUGUAUUAGUGUCAAUAUACUUGGCUCUAUAGGGCUUUGGCCCUACUUUAUAAGGCCAAAAGAAUAAAAGGCCCUAUGCUCAAUAAGGCCAAAUUUUUAGAAAACCUUGCAAGCCCAAAAGUCUUCAUGGGCCAAACAUCAUAGGGCUAGCUCAUGGAUAAUCCUCUUUUUUUUGUUGCUUUCUCAAUCUCUAUUUUAACAAUCUCGAUCAUAUUUAAACAAUCAAAACUCCAUUGACCUGGUCCACAAAAUAAACUCUAUUUACAAAGUCAAAAAAUAAAACAAUAUUCUAAAUCAAAUUUUCUAAAUAUUCAAACUUUUACUAAACUGGUUUAUUCUUCAAAAACUAAAACGAUAUUUCAAAUCAAAUUUUUCAAACAAUCAAAUUUUUACUAAAUCUGUUUAUUCAAGUUUCCUAUUAUAUUGGCAAAGAUGGCUUAAAAUAUCGGGUACAAGAUGCUACCCUAAACUGAACUAUAUCACCCAAACGAUGAAACAUACUUAACUAAAUCAAGACUUCGAUAGCCUUACUGUUGAUCAAACCCUUGCAGUUGUUCUCUCUGCCUCCCAUUUUUUACAUCAGUUUAAAAAAUAUUUGGUCCUACAGAAGCAGUCAAGUGAAAGCACUAACAAGAACAACUACAACAACAAAGAACCAAAGAUAACACCACCGUCUUCUUCCAACAAAACUAUCUACGUCCGAGUCCUUUCUUGUGUGAAUUGACAGAGCUUUUCUUCGAUCUGCCAGUUGCCACUGUCCAUUUUUGACUGGGAUCAACAAUACAGUCCUCUUUGACAUUGCUGGUAGCACUGCACUUUUCACAUUGUAAGUUUUGUGAUCCAUCUUUAGGUACCGCGAAAAAUGGCAGUCCAUUAUCGUUAAGUACAUAAAUAUUUAUGGCACGUGUCUCGUCCGAAUUAUCUUUUGCAAGGUUGUACUGAACUUCUUUGGAAACCUGAAGAAUACGAUUAUCAAGUUGAUCCUCUCCAGAAAAGGGAAGAUGGUUCCUGUUGUCAUAGGGUAUUAUUACCCCUUGUUGAUUCCGAUCGUACACAGUCACUCUCCUGUAGAGAGAUUUAUCCAAGUAUUCCGACAUAUUUUAAGAAAAUAGAAGAAGGAGAAAGUGUAGCAGGUUAUUUAGACUUAAGAUAGCAGAGGGAGGAAGAAGAAGGGGAAAGUUGGUGAGUUAUAUCAUAAAGAGUGCGAGAGUAGAAGGGAGGAAGAAAAAGGGGGAAGUUGGUGAGUUAUAUCAUAAAAAGUGUGAGAGUAGAAGGAGAAAGAUGAAAGGGGAAACCGGGAAAUUGAUAUGAUUUAAAAGAUCUCCUCUAUCUUACCAAUAUGUAUUAGUGUCAAUAUGCUUGGCCCUAUAGGGCUUUGGCCCUUCUUUAUAUGGCCAAAAGAACAAAAUGCCCUAUACUCAAUAGGGCCAAAUUUUCAAAAAAUCUUGCAGGGCCAAAAGCCCUCAUGGGCCAAACAUCAUAGGCUAGCCCAUGGAUAAUCCUUUUUUUUGUUGCUUUUUCAAUCUCUAUUUCAACAAUCUCUAUUAUAUUUAAGCAAUCAAAACUCCAUUGAUCAGGUCCACAAAAUAAACUCUAUUUACAAAGGCAAAAAAUAAAACAAAAUUCCAAAUCAAAAUUUCCAAACAUUCAAACUUUUAUUAAACUGGUUUAUUCUUCAAAAACUAAAACGAUAUUCCAAAUAAAAUUUUCCAAACAAUCAAAUUUUUACUAAACCGGUUUAUUCUAAAUUUCUAUUAUAUUGACAAAGAUGGCUUAAAAUAUCUGGUACAAGAUGCAACCCUAAACUGAACUAUAUCACCCAAACGAUGAAACGUACUUAACUAAAUCAAGACUUCGAUAGUCUUACUGUUGACCAAACCCUUAUUGUUGUUCUCUCUGCGUCCGAUUUUUCACAUCAGUCUAAAAAAUAUUUCGUCCUACAGAAGCAGUCGAGUGAAAGCACUAACUAGAACAACUAUUACAACAAAGAACCGAAGAUAACACCACCCUCUUCUUCCUACAAAGCUAUCUACACCCGUUUCUUUUCUUGUGUGCAUUGACAUAGCUUUUCUUUGAUCUGCCAGUUGCCAAUGUCCAUUUUUGACUGGGAUCAACAUCACAAUCCUCUUUGACAUGGCCGGUAGCACCGCACUUUUCACAUUGUAAGUUUUGUGAUCCAUCUUUAGGUACUGUAAAAAAUGACAGUCCAUUAUCGUCAAGUACAUAAAUAUUUAUGGCACCUGUCCUGCCUAUAUUAUCUUUGGCAAGGUUGUACUAAACUUCUGUGGAAACCUCAAGAAUACGAUUAUCAAGUUGAACCUCUUCGGAAAGGGAAAAAUGGUCCCUGUUGUCAUAGGGUAUUAUCACCCCUUGUUGAUUCCGAUCGUACACAGUCACUCUCCCGUAGAGAAGUUUAUCCAAGCAUUCUGACAUGUUUUAUGAAAAUAGAGGAAGAAGAAAGUGUAGAUGGGUAUAUAGACUUAAGAGAGCAGAGGGAGGAAGAAG